UAAGACAUGCAAGUCGUGCGACAGACCAGGAAUUGAUUACUUCGGUUUGAUUUUCCUGACGAUGAGCGGCGAACGGGUGCGUAACACGUGAGAAACUUGCCUUAAAGUUCGGGAUAGCUCGGCGAAAGUCGAAUUAAUACCGGAUGUGGCCUGGGGAUAGCAUUUUCCCUCGGUUAAAGCUCGGUCACAGAGCGCUUUUAGAUAGUCUCGCGGUCUAUCAGCUUGUUGGUGAGGUAACGGCUCACCAAGGCUACGACGGAUAACUGAUCUGAGAGGAUGAUCAGUCACACUGGAACUGAGACACGGUCCAGACACCUACGGGUGGCAGCAGUCGAGAAUCAUUCACAAUGGGCGCAAGCCUGAUGGUGCGACGCCGCGUGGGGGAUGAAGGGCUUCGGUCUGUAAACCCCUGUCAUCUGUGAGUAAGGUCUCGUAUAAAAGUUACGAGAAUUGAUAUUAGCAGAAGAGGAAGGGACGGCUAACUCUGUGCCAGCAGCCGCGGUAAUACAGAGGUCCCAAGCGUUGUUCGGAUUUACUGGGCGUAAAGGGUGCGUAGGCGGUUAGAAAAGUUUGGUGUGAAAUCUUCGGGCUCAACCCGGAAACUGCACUGAAAACUAUUUAACUAGAGGAUCGGAGAGGAGAUUGGAAUUCUCAGUGUAGCAGUGAAAUGCGUAGAUAUUGAGAGGAACACCAGUUGCGAAGGCGGAUCUCUGGACGAUUCCUGACGCUGAGGCACGAAAGCUGGGGGAGCGAAGAGGAUUAGAUACCCUCGUAGUCCCAGCCGUAAACGGUGCGCACUUGCUGUGGGCGGAUUCGACCCCGUCCGUGGCGAAGCUAACGCGUUAAGUGCGCCGCCUGGGGAGUACGGUC
rnacentral:rRNA from 1 species